rnacentral:rRNA from 1 species
UACGUAGGGGGCUAGCGUUGUCCGGAAUCAUUGGGCGUAAAGCGCGUGUAGGCGGUCCGGUAAGUCCGCUGUGAAAGUCGGGGGCUCAACCCUCGAAUGCCGGUGGAUACUGUCGGGCUAGAGUGCGGAAGAGGCGAGUGGAAUUCCUGGUGUAGCGGUGAAAUGCGCAGAUAUCAGGAGGAACACCGAUGGCGAAGGCAGGUCUCUGGGCUGACACUGACGCUCAUGCACGAAAGCGUGGGGAGCAAACAGG